rnacentral:rRNA from 1 species
UGGCUCAGAUUGAACGCUGGCGGCAGGCUUAACACAUGCAAGUCGAGCGGGGAAGGGUACUUCGGUAACUGACCUAGCGGCGGACGGGUGAGUAAUGCUUAGGAAUCUGCCUAUUAGUGGGGGACAACGUUCCGAAAGGAACGCUAAUACCGCAUACGCCCUACGGGGGAAAGCAGGGGAUCUUCGGACCUUGCGCUAAUAGAUGAGCCUAAGUCGGAUUAGCUAGUUGGUGGGGUAAAGGCCUACCAAGGCGACGAUCUGUAGCGGGUCUGAGAGGAUGAUCCGCCACACUGGGACUGAGACACGGCCCAGACUCCUACGGGAGGCAGCAGUGGGGAAUAUUGGACAAUGGGCGGAAGCCUGAUCCAGCCAUGCCGCGUGUGUGAAGAAGGCCUUUUGGUUGUAAAGCACUUUAAGCGAGGAGGAGGCUCCUUUAGUUAAUACCUAAA